rnacentral:rRNA from 1 species
AGAGUUUGAUCAUGGCUCAGAUUGAACGCUGGCGGUAGGCUUAACACAUGCAAGUCGUGCGAGAAAGUAUCUUCGGAUAUGAGUAGAGCGGCGGACGGGUGAGUAACGCGUAGGAAUCUACCUAGUAGAAGGGGAUAGCCCGGGGAAACCCGGAUUAAUACCGUAUACCUCCUUCGGGAGAAAGAAGGCCUCUCUUUGAAGCUUUCGCUAUUAGAUGAGCCUGCGUAAGAUUAGCUUGUUGGUGAGGUAAAGGCUCACCAAGGCGACGAUCUUUAGCUGGUCUGAGAGGACGAUCAGCCACAUUGGGACUGAGACACGGCCCAGACUCCUACGGGAGGCAGCAGUGGGGAAUAUUGGACAAUGGGCGCAAGCCUGAUCCAGCCAUACCGCGUGUGUGAAGAAGGCCUUCGGGUUGUAAAGCACUUUAAGCAGGGAGNAAAAGUUAUAAGUUAAUUCCUUAUAACC